UACGUAGGGUGCGAGCGUUAAUCGGAAUUACUGGGCGUAAAGCGUGCGCAGGCGGUUUUUUUAAGACAGGCGUGAAAUCCCCCGGGCUUAACCUGGGAACUGCGCUUGUGACUGGAAGGCUAGAGUACGGCAGAGGGGGGGUGGAAUUCCACGUGUAGCAGUGAAAAUGCGUAGAGAUGUGGAGGAACACCGAUGGCGAAGGCAGCCCCCCUGGGCCGAUACUGACGCUCAUGCACGAAAGCGUGGGGGAGCAAACAGG
rnacentral:rRNA from 1 species